CCUACGGGUGGCAGCAGUGGGGAAUAUUGGGCAAUGGGCGCAAGCCUGACCCAGCAACGCCGCGUGAAGGAAGAAGGCUUUCGGGUUGUAAACUUCUUUUAUCAGGGACGAAGCAAGUGACGGUACCUGAUGAAUAAGCCACGGCUAACUACGUGCCAGCAGCCGCGGUAAUACGUAGGUGGCAAGCGUUAUCCGGAUUUACUGGGUGUAAAGGGCGUGUAGGCGGGAGUGCAAGUCAGAUGUGAAAACUAUGGGCUCAACCCAUAGCCUGCAUUUGAAACUGUACUUCUUGAGUGCUGGAGAGGCAGGCGGAAUUCCUAGUGUAGCGGUGAAAUGCGUAGAUAUUAGGAGGAACACCGGUGGCGAAGGCGGCCUGCUGGACUGUGACUGACGUUGAGGCCCGAAGGCGUGGGGAGCAAACAGGAUUAGAUACCCCUGUAGUC
rnacentral:rRNA from 1 species